ensembl:lncRNA
GAGAGGGAGAGAGAGAGAUGGAUGGGAGAGAGAGAGAGAUGGAUGGGAGGGAGAGAGAGAGAGAGAUGGAUGGGAGGGAGAGAGAGAGAGAGAGAUGGAUGGGAGGGAGAGAGAGAGAGAUGGAUGGAGAGAGAGAGAGAUGGAUGGGAGGGAGAGAGAGAGAGAUGGAUGGAGGGAGAGAGAGAGAUGGAUGGGAGAGAGAGAGAGAUGGAUGGGAGAGAGAGAGAGAUGGGAGGGAGAGAGAGAGAGAGAUGGGAGAGGAGAGAGAGAGAGAGAUGGAUGGAGAGAGAGAGAGAGAUGGAUGGAUGGGAGAGAGAGAGAUGGAUGAGAUGGGAGGGAGAGAGAGAGAUGGAUGGGAGGAGAGAGAGAGAG